GCCGGUGUAGCUCAGGGGUAGAGCGUUUCCUUGGUAAGGAAGAGGUCGGCAGUUCAAAUCUGCUCGCUGGCU
rnacentral:tRNA from 1 species